CAGUCGCCGCGGUAAUACGGAGGGAGCUAGCGUUGUUCGGAAUUACUGGGCGUAAAGCGCGCGUAGGCGGUUACUCAAGUCAGAGGUGAAAGCCCGGGGCUCAACCCCGGAACUGCCUUUGAAACUAGGUGACUAGAAUCUUGGAGAGGUCAGUGGAAUUCCGAGUGUAGAGGUGAAAUUCGUAGAUAUUCGGAAGAACACCAGUGGCGAAGGCGACUGACUGGACAAGUAUUGACGCUGAGGUGCGAAAGCGUGGGGAGCAAACAGGAUUAGAGACCCCUGUAGUCCCUGUCUCUUAUAC
rnacentral:rRNA from 1 species